GGUGGGGUGCGAGAGCGGUUGAAUCGGGCGGUCUUGAAAACCGCUAUACCAGCAAUGGUAUCGGGGGUUCGAAUCCCUCCCCCACCG
rnacentral:tRNA from 1 species